rnacentral:rRNA from 1 species
GAUGAACGCUAGCGGCAGGCUUAAUACAUGCAAGUCGAGGGGCAGCAUGACUGUAGCAAUACAGUUGAUGGCGACCGGCAAACGGGUGCGGAACACGUACAGAACCUUCCUUCGAGCGGGGAAUAGCCCAGAGAAAUUUGGAUUAAUACCCCAUAGUAUAGCGGAGUGGCAUCACUCUGUUAUUAAAGAUUUAUCACUUGAAGAUGGCUGUGCGGCUGAUUAGGUAGUUGGCGGGGUAACGGCCCACCAAGCCUGCGGUCAGUAACUGGUGUGAGAGCACGACCAGUCACACGGGCACUGAGACACGGGCCCGACUCCUACGGGAGGCAGCAGUAAGGAAUAUUGGUCAAUGGACGCAAGUCUGAUCCAGCCAUGCCGCGUGAAGGAUUAAGGUCCUCUGGAUUGUAAACUUCUUUUAUAAGGGACGAAAAAAGGUCUUUCAAGAUCGUCUGACGGUACCUUGUGAAUAAGCACCGGCUAACUCCGUGCCAGCAGCCGCAGUAACAC